GAUGAACGCUGGCGGCGUGCCUAACACAUGCAAGUCGAGCGAUUUACUUCGGUAAAGAGCGGCGGACGGGUGAGUAACGCGUGGGUAACCUGCCCUGUACACAUGGAUAACAUACCGAAAGGUAUGCUAAUACGAGAUAAUAUACUUUUAUCGCAUGGUAGAAGUAUCAAAGCUCCGGCGGUACAGGAUGGACCCGCGUCUGAUUAGCUAGUUGGUAAGGUAACGGCUUACCAAGGCGACGAUCAGUAGCCGACCUGAGAGGGUGAUCGGCCACAUUGGAACUGAGACACGGUCCAAACUCCUACGGGAGGCAGCAGUGGGGAAUAUUGCACAAUGGGCGAAAGCCUGAUGCAGCAACGCCGCGUGAGCGAUGAAGGCCUUCGGGUCGUAAAGCUCUGUCCUCAAGGAAGAUAAUGACGGUACUUGAGGAGGAAGCCCCGGCUAACUACGUG
rnacentral:rRNA from 1 species